GAUGAACGCUGGCGGCGUGCCUAAUACAUGCAAGUCGAGCGAACGGACGAGACGCUUGCUUCUCUGAUGUUAGCGGCGGACGGGUGAGUAACACGUGGAUAACCUACCUAUAAGUCUGGGAUAACUUCGGGACACCGGAGCUAAUACCGGAUGAUAUUUUGAACCGCAUGGUUCAAAAGUGAAAGACGGUCUUGCUGUCACUUAUAGAUGGAUCCGCGCUGCAUUAGCUAGUUGGUAAGGUAACGGCUUACCAAGGCAACGAUGCAUAGCCGACCUGAGAGGGUGGUCGGCCACACUGGAACUGAGACACGGUCCAGACGCCUACGGGAGGGAGCAGUAGGGAAUCUUCCGCAAUGGGCGAAAGCCUGACGGAGCAACGCCGCGUGAGUGAUGAAGGUCUUCGGAUCGUAAAGCUCUGUUAUUAGGGAAGAACAGAUGUGUAAGUAACUGUGCACAUCUUGACGGUACCUAAUCAGAAAGCCACGGCUAACUACGUG
rnacentral:rRNA from 1 species